GAUGAAGAACGUAGCAAAAUGCGAUAAGUAAUGUGAAUUGCAGAAUUCAGUGAAUCAUCGAAUCUUUGAACGCACAUGGCGCCUUCCAGUAUCCUGGGAGGCAUGCCUGUCCGAGCGUCGUUUCAACCCUCGAGCCCUCGUGGCCCGGCGUUGGGGAUCUGCCACGGCAGGCCCCGAAAUACAGUGGCGGACCCGUUAGGCCCUUCCUUUGCGUAGUAGCAUCAGCCUCGCAUCGGGAGCCGGCGGGCUCUCCUGCCUCUAAACCCCCCAACAAGCCCGCUCCGGCGGCACCAAGGUUGACCUCGGAUCAGGUAGGAAUACCCGCUGAACUUAAGCAUAUCAAUAAGCGGAGGA
rnacentral:misc_RNA from 1 species